rnacentral:rRNA from 1 species
GACGAACGCUGGCGGCGUGCCUAAUACAUGCAAGUCGCACGAGUGGCGGACGGGUGAGUAACACGUGGGAACCUACCCCUCAGAGGGGGAUAACAACUGGACACGGUAGCUAAUACCGCAUACCAUCAGAUGUGCCCAGAUGGGAUUAGCUAGUAGGGUGUGUAAUGUCUCACCUAGGCGACGAUCCCUAGCUGGUCUGAGAGGAUGACCAGCCACACUGGAACUGAGACACGGUCCAGACUCCUACGGGAGGCAGCAGUGGGGAAUAUUGCACAAUGGGCGCAAGCCUGAUGCAGCCAUGCCGCGUGUGUGAAGAAGGCCUUCGGGUUGUAAAGCACUUUCAGCGGGGAGGCGUUACCCGCAGAAGAAGCACCGGCUAACUCCGUGCCAGCAGCCGCGGUAAUAC